CUACGGGUUGCUGCAGUAGGGAAUAUUGGACAAUGGGCGAAAGCCUGAUCCAGCAACGCCGCGUGCACGAUGACGGCCUUCGGGUUGUAAAGUGCUUUUAGAGGAGAUGAGAAAGGACAGUAUCCUCUGAAUAAGCCUCGGCGAACUACGUGCCAGCAGCCGCGGUAAAACGUAGGAGGCAAGCGUUAUCCGGAUUUAUUGGGCGUAAAGCGCGUGCAGGCGGUUUGACAAGUUGGAUGUGAAAGCUCCCGGCUUAACUGGGAGAGGUCGUUCAAAACUGUCAGACUAGAGAAUGGGAGAGGGAGGUGGAAUUCCGGGUGUAGUGGUGAAAUGCGUAGAUAUCCGGAGGAACACCAGUGGCGAAAGCGGCCUCCUAGACCAUUUCUGACGCUAAGACGCGAAAGCUAGGGUAGCAAACGGGAUUAGAUACCCCGGUAGUC
rnacentral:rRNA from 1 species